rnacentral:rRNA from 1 species
AUUGAACGCUGGCGGCAUGCUUUACACAUGCAAGUCGAACGGCAGCGCGGGCUUCGGCCUGGCGGCGAGUGGCGAACGGGUGAGUAAUGCAUCGGAACGUGCCCAGUAGUGGGGGAUAGCCCGGCGAAAGCCGGAUUAAUACCGCAUACGACCUGAGGGUGAAAGCGGGGGACCGAAAGGCCUCGCGCUAUUGGAGCGGCCGAUGUCGGAUUAGCUAGUUGGUGGGGUAAAGGCUUACCAAGGCGACGAUCCGUAGCUGGUCUGAGAGGACGACCAGCCACACUGGGACUGAGACACGGCCCAGACUCCUACGGGAGGCAGCAGUGGGGAAUUUCGGACAAUGGGGGCAACCCUGAUCCAGCCAUGCCGCGUGCGGGAAGAAGGCCUUCGGGUUGUAAACCGCUUUUGUUCGGGAAGAAAUCCUCUGGGCUAAUACCCCGGGGGGAUGACGGUACCGGAAGAAUAAGCACCGGCUAACUACGUG